GUGUUGUUUCUCAAUACUGGGAAAUCGAAAUGUUGGGGAAACAGCUGUGGGAAUGUUUGGGCACGGCUGAGGCUUGUGCAACAUCAGAGCCGUGUUUGUUGCAGCAGAACCACCCCGGGAGCUACUUCCCUGUGGUUCAGAUGGUCCCACUCUGACCUGAAGCCCGAGUCCUCCUGGAGUCAGACCCACAGUGGGAUCUUUGUUCUGCUCCGUGCAUGAGCGCUCAGCCCAGUGACGCCCUGAUCCCUUUGCUUUCUCUGCGCCACACAUAUCUAUAGGAAACACAGGAGAGGAGGGCUGACAUGGUCCAGUGAGAGGGACAGAGAGAGCACAGAGGAGAGAGUCGCGUCGAGGGCGACACCUAGUGGACACUUCUGAUACAGCCAGCGUGUGGCCUGUUGUCUCUGCACUGAUGGACAUGACGCUGCAUCCUAUGGGGGUGAGUUCAGGUACUGUGGGACAGUUUUUCAGUACAUAGCCUAGUAGUCUCAUACAAAAAACUGUCUGGAGGCCUCACAUUUUUAUGUUGGGAUAGAAAGAGGAUGCACUGUGUAUCCUACCAUGACCCCCCUUCACUCAAACAGCAUGUUCAGGUGGUGUGGGGUCGUGCACCACUGCAGUGUGAUCCAGUACUUCCAUUAACAGCCUGAACAGAAAGUAACACGCUGCUGCUUAUGCACUGUACAGCCUCCAUGUAAAGACAGACCCGCUCUGAUGAUGUCAGACCCGUUCAAACCACUGGUUAUUGAUCUGCCGGAGGGACUGUUGACAGUUCUCUGAGAAAACUGGUCAGGAGGGCCAGCCCUGUCCUGGACUGUCUGCUGGACUCCACAGAGGUGGUGGGCAGGAGGAGGAUGUUAGCCAGGCUGACAUCAAUCCUGGACAGCAGCUCUCAGCCCUGCAGCAGACUGUGGAGGCCUGCAGCAGCUCUGUCAGCUGCAGACUCUGACACCCAGUGUGUGAGAAGGAGCCACCACAGAUCAUUCAUCCCCACAGCCGUCACACUGUUUCACUCAAGCACUGCCUGAGCAAUUACUUUCCACUCUCUGGUUUGAUUUUUGUAAAUAUCUUAUUGUUUUUCCUAUUCAUUUACUUAUUAUUUCACUUUGUGCAUAUUUGUCGGAUUCUUUUCCCUGCACAUCUCCAGCUGUUGUCACAAGUGAAUUUCCCCUUUGUGGGAUAAAUAAAGUCUAUCUUGAU